rnacentral:tRNA from 3 species
UUGUAGCUCAGCUGGUUAGAGCGCACCCCUGAUAAGGGUGAGGUCUCUGGUUCAAAUCCAG